CAGUCGCCACGGUAAUACGUAGGUCCCGAGCGUUGUCCGAAUUUAUUGGGCGUAAAGCGAGCGCGGGCGGUUAGAUAAGUCUGAAGUUAAAGGCUGUGGCUUAACCAUAGUACGCUUUGGAAACUGUUUAACUUGAGUGCAAGAGGGGAGAGUGGAAUUCCAUGUGUAGCGGUGAAAUGCGUAGAUAUAUGGAGGAACACCGGUGGCGAAAGCGGCUCUCUGGCUUGUAACUGACGCUGAGGCUCGAAAGCGUGGGGAGCAAACAGGAUUAGAUACCCCAGUAGUCCCUGUCUCUUAUACA
rnacentral:rRNA from 1 species